rnacentral:lncRNA from 1 species
AUAUAAUGUACCUCAUAAGCAGUCACAGGAGGAGAGAUCUAAUUUCCAGUCAGCAAGUGUUUAUUGAAUGGCUGCAGUAUACUAUGUGCUGGACAUAGGGCCAUAGCAGAGGUCGGCCUGGCCAAGAUUGUAACUAAAAUCUUGUAAGACAUUAAAUAACCACUAUAAAUAUAUAGUGAAAUGUGAUGAACAAAUGAAACCGAAACUAAAGAAUAUGGUGACAACUGGAACAAAGGACCUCUCCUUGACUGGGAUCCUGGGAAGGGUGCCAGGGAAGAUGGCUAUGAGAGUGUGACAGAGCCAGGCAGAGGCCCAGACUGGACAUUCCACAUGGAGGGAGCUCAUAUGUGUGAGGGCCAAAGAGAAGGCUGGUCGAAGUGUGUUUCAGGAACAUCAACUAGAGCCAAGCACAAGAUCUAGCACAUAGUAAAAACUGGAAAAAUGUUGGUUCAAUUGAACAGAACUUGACACCGAAAUUGAACAUGCUUCUAAGGUUGCAUAAGAGCAAGAAAAGAAAACGUUUGAAAAUGAAAAUCCUUUUCUGUUGAUCCCUGGAGAGCACAACACUUCAAGGAAGGCUUUGUCAAAUCCUUCUGUAAAGUGCAGAAGUGCAGCAUUCUUUUGUAGGUAAAUACUCCUCACUUACAACACUGAGUUUAUGUGUGUAUACAUAUAAAUAAUAUUAAUAUUGAAUACAUAAUAUAAUAAUUAUGCAUGGUAUUAAUAUUAAUAGUUUAACAGUAAACAAAGC